UGAAGUUAUGAUUCUUUCUUUUAUUGGACCAGCUGUUAAGUCUCAAUGGGGGCUUUCUUCUACACAAGAAACUCUUAUUACUACUGUUGUGUUUGCUGGCAUGCUUAUUGGAGCUUACUUUUGGGGAAUUCUUGCUGACAACUAUGGAAGACGGCAAGCCUAUUUAACCUUUUUUAAUAUUUAUUGAAAAAGUUUAUGUUUGUGUUUUUCUUUUUAGAUUGG
rnacentral:misc_RNA from 1 species